CUCCGAUUCAGAAGAAUUCUUUUUCAUUUCUUAAAGAUUGAGAUUCGAACAUUUCUACUUUUCAUCUUUUUACGAUAAUUUGGAGUUUCAGGGUAACGAAUUUCAAUCUGUUUUGUUGAAUUUUGAGAGAUUUUUUGCCAUGGGGAACUAUAGAAAGCAAGAAUUCUGUGACGAUCGAGCGGAGCGAUCCAACGGCGACGAUUUCCAGGAUUCAUCGUCCGUUUCUAGCGGUGUUGAGACCUCCACGGUUGGAUCUGUUGCCGUUUCGCCUGGAAGGAGCGAGAUUGGGUUGACGGAGCGGUUGGCGGAUAUUCUAGUGGAAGAUGGUGAAGGAGAUCUGCUACUCCAACAGAGCGAUCGUGAAGAUAGGGUUUUGCAGUGGUUACAGGCUUU
rnacentral:misc_RNA from 1 species